rnacentral:rRNA from 1 species
CCUACGGGCGGCAGCAGUGAGGAAUAUUGGUCAAUGGCCGGAAGGCUGAACCAGCCAUGCCGCGUGAAGGUCAGUGCCCUAUGGGCGUUAAACUUCUUUUGUGCGGGAGCAAUAAUGGUCACGUGUGGCCAGACGAGAGUACCGUACGAAUAAGCAUCGGCUAACUCCGUGCCAGGAGCCGCGGUAAUACGGGGGAUGCAAGCGUUAUCCGGAUUUACUGGGUUUAAAGGGUGCGUAGGCGGGGAGGUAAGUCAGCGGGGAAAUGCCCCCGUUCAACGGGGUGAAGUGCCAUUGAUACUGCCGUGCUGGAGUGCGGAUGCCGUAGGAGGAAUGUGUGGUGUAGCGGUGAAAUGCAUAGAUAUCACACAGAACACCGAUUGCGAAGGCAUCUCACGAAUCCGCGAUUGACGCUGAUGCACGAAAGCGUGGGUAUCAAACAGGAUUAGAUACCCGAGUAGUC